rnacentral:rRNA from 1 species
UAGGGAAUAUUGCUCAAUGGGGGAAACCCUGAAGCAGCAACGCCGCGUGGAGGAUGAAGGUCUUCGGAUUGUAAACUCCUUUUCUAAGAGAAGAUUAUGACGGUAUCUUAGGAAUAAGCACCGGCUAACUCCGUGCCAGCAGCCGCGGUAAUACGGAGGGUGCAAGCGUUACUCGGAAUCACUGGGCGUAAAGAGCACGUAGGCGGCCUUGCAAGUCAGAUGUGAAAUCCAACGGCUUAACCGUUGAACUGCAUUUGAAACUGCGAGGCUAGAGUAUGGGAGAGGUAGGUGGAAUUCUCGGUGUAGGGGUAAAAUCCGUAGAGAUCGAGAGGAAUACUCAUUGCGAAGGCGACCUGCUGGAACAUUACUGACGCUGAGGUGCGAAAGCGUGGGGAGCAAACA